UCGCUUUGAAAUAUGUUCAAUACUGAGCAUAGAAGAUGUCACACAGAAGACUUCUCAUGUAUCCUAGGUUCUUCAGGUGGUUGGUAACUUUCAAGGUACUAAAUCUUCUGUAAAACACUGUUGAAUGGCUCUUGUAAAAAUUGCAGAGGAAUGAAGAUCACUUCCUGUUUACAAUAAAGGUUGGGAGUACAAUUAGUCAGACAUGUCACUGGUGGGAAAAGAGUUACCCUAUUGUAGAAACUUCAGACAACAUAGACAUUCGAAAAAAGCUAGAAUAAGUACAUGUCUUGGAAUUGUAUCUCAGCAUAGAAGAGGUCAUACAGAAAACUUCCAUGUAUCCUGGGUUCUUGAGGUGGUUGGUAACUUCCAAGGUACUAAAUCUUCUGCAGAACACUGUUGACUGGCUCUUGUAAAUAUUGCAGAGAAAUGAAAACGCUUCCUGUUUGCCGAAAAGGUUGGAUGUAGAAUUAGUCGACACAUCAGUGGGAAUUUAACCUGGGCGGGUGGUGCAGCGCUGCG
rnacentral:lncRNA from 1 species